AAACACACUUUUCGUCGAUGUUGAAUUUUCUGCCGGCGGCACGUUUCCCGUUCUCGAGAGCAAACUUGAUCACCUUUAACUUGUAGCCAGCCGUGUAGCUAUUCAGGUAC
rnacentral:pre_miRNA from 1 species